GUGGUUGCUCUAGGAAUUCCAAAAUACAUACUUAACUUUUCACAGUCUGCUUAAAAUUAGUAGUUUACCUUCCAUUUGUCACACUGGUGUCACACUGAGUG